rnacentral:rRNA from 1 species
AAAUGUUGGUUAGUCCCGCAACGAGCGCAACCCUUAUCCUUUGUUGCCAGCGAGUAAUGUCGGGAACUCAAAGGAGACUGCCGGUGAUAAACCGGAGGAAGGUGGGGAUGACGUCAAGUCAUCAUGGCCCUUACGAGUAGGGCUACACACGUGCUACAAUGGCAUAUACAAAGAGAAGCGAACUCGCGAGAGCAAGCGGACCUCAUAAAGUAUGUCGUAGUCCGGAUUGGAGUCUGCAACUCGACUCCAUGAAGUCGGAAUCGCUAGUAAUCGUAGAUCAGAAUGCUACGGUGAAUACGUUCCCGGGCCUU